AGAAAGUUAGUCUAACCAAGACAGUUGAUUUCGACUCAACAGAUUAUAGCCCCCACUCUAUAACUUUCUU
rnacentral:tRNA from 1 species